rnacentral:rRNA from 1 species
AGAGUUUGAUCCUGGCUCAGGAUGAACGCUGGCGGCAUGCCUAAUACAUGCAAGUCGAACGAGGAUCCUUCGGGAUCCUAGUGGCGAACGGGUGAGUAACACGUAGGGAACCUGCCCGCGCACCGGGAAUACGCUCUGGAAACGGAGAACAAAUCCCGAUGUACAGGAAGGAGGCAUCUUCUUUCUGUGAAACAUCCUGUAAGGGAUGGGGCGCGGAUGGACCUGCGGUGCAUUAGUUGGUUGGCGAGGGUAAAGGCCCACCAAGACGAUGAUGCAUAGCCGGCCUGAGAGGGCGGACGGCCACAUUGGGACUGAGACACGGCCCAGACUCCUGCGGGAGGCAGCAGUAGGGAAUUUUCGUCAAUGGGCGCAAGCCUGAACGAGCGAUGCCGCGUGAGUGAAGAAGGCCUUCGGGUCGUAAAGCUCUGUUGCGGGGGAAAAAAGGCAUCUGCAGGAAAUGGUAGAUGACAGAUGGUGCCCCGCCAGAAAGUCGCGGCUAACUACGUGCCAGCAGCCGCGGUAAUACGUAGGUGGCGAGCGUUAUCCGGAAUGAUUGGGCGUAAAGGGUGCGCAGGCGGUCCUGCAAGUCUGGAGUGAAACGUAUGAGCUCAACUCAUGCAUGGCUCUGGAAACUGGAGGACUGGAGAGCAGGAGAGGGCGGUGGAACUCCAUGUGUAGCGGGAAAAUGCGUAGAUAUAUGGAAGAACACC